rnacentral:ribozyme from 1 species
ACAUAGUGUUACCAGCAGCAACACAUGCCAAUUUAAUUUUAUUAUUCAAUAGUCACUUAUGUGGAUGCUUGAUUCUGGAAAUAAUAUAUGAAUUUCAAGUAAUCCUUGUCCCCUGCUGCAUCCCAAUUCUGAAUCUAGUUGGGAAGAUUCUGAAGGUAAUGCAUCUAACAAGUGACUAUAGAUG